UGGGAACUGUCUAAAAGCAUCAUGGGAUGG
rnacentral:piRNA from 1 species